rnacentral:rRNA from 1 species
GGAUCAAUAUAUCGGUCGUGCCUUGGUACGUACUGGUAUCAUUGGUUUCUCCUUUCUGACGAACCAUGAUGUCAUUAAUUUGGUGUUAUGGGAAGUUAGGACUGUUACUUUGAAAAAAUUAGAGUGUUUAAAGCAGGCUUUAGCUUGAAUACAUUAGCAUGGAAUAAUGAAAUAGGACUUUGGUUCUAUUUUGUUGGUUUCUAGGACCAGAGUA